GCAUCUAUGGCUGAAUAGUGAAAGCGCCGACCAACCUAGAAAGGCAAAAAGGUCAAAAAGUAGGUUAGAUUCCUGCCGGAUGCA
rnacentral:tRNA from 1 species